GACGUAGGGCGCGAGCGUUGUCCGGAUUUAUUGGGCGUAAAGAGCUCGUAGGCGGUUUGUUGCGUCGGCUGUGAAAACCUGAGGCUCAACCUCAGGCCUGCAGUCGAUACGAGCAGACUAGAGUGUUGCAGGGGAGACUGGAAUUCCUGGUGUAGCGGUGGAAUGCGCAGAUAUCAGGAGGAACACCGGUGGCGAAGGCGGGUCUCUGGGCCGAUACUGACGCUGAGGAGCGAAAGCGUGGGGAGCAAACAGG
rnacentral:rRNA from 1 species